UUAAAUCUGCCUGAUUGUUCCACCUUGGAUAUGCUUCAAUAUAAAUCUGUUGUCCAAUGUCGGAUCAAUUUAGGAUAAAAGGCUUGCUACAAUAAUUUCCUUUCUUGUCAAUAACUCUUAUAUUUAUUUUGAUAUACUAUGGUCUAUGUUGGCUUAUUGCGAAUUGGCUACGAAAUCUACUAAUUGUUCACUUUGGAUAUGCUCUAUUUAAAUCUGUUGUCCAUCGAUAGAACGAUCUUGUAUUACUCGUCCCAUUCGACAUUUUUUUGAUUAGGAUUUAUCUGAAUUAUGUAAUUUAGAAAAGGGUUAUAAUAAACCUUAAAUAUGUAUGUUGGUACCAUAUGUGAUAUAUUGGUCAUUAGGACAACUCCAUUUACAUGACUCAUAAUUUGCGGUUAGGUAUAAUCGAUCGAGUCAAAUGUAAGUGUGUAUAAGUUAGUCGUUGUAUAGGUUAUGUUUUGUUUUGUAGUUAUGAAUAUGGUUAUUAUGGUGUUCUUGUUGACUAUAAUUUGGGGUUUUAUAAAAAUCUACUGAAUCAACUUGAACACAAUUUGGUCUUUAUGAUGUAUGCCACCGAGAACUUGUCCUACGAGUUCUGUGUCACCAAUAUAGGUUAUUUUAGAGUAGAGUAGUAUUCUUAGAUUCGUAGUAUAUUUUAGAUAUUUGGUUAUUCACGCCUGUGUUGGAUCCCACAGCGUGUGAUUUUUUUUAUGGAUACUUGUAUUGAGUAUUUAUAUAUGUAUAAAAAAAAUUGUUCAUUAGAUCAAUUUUUUUUUCUCCGAGUAAAGGGGGAAUGUAACGAUUAGUUAUUACCAUCGUUACUAAAAUAUUUAUUCCAAUAGUAACUAGGUAUGCAACCAACUUUACAGACAAUUGUAUUGAAAGUUGCAGUUGAUCGACGACAAAAUUGGUAACUUUUGGGGAAUUCAGAACCUAGAAGUUGGUUUGUGUGUCGAUACGGCUUCCGGCUGACGUGAUUGUCAUUGAAGAAGGGGCUAUUCGUCACUUCAAUCUCGGCUGUUGUUGAAAGCAGACCCAUCAGCCAUCACGCCAGUGGCCAUUACAGAGAAUAUAAAAUUUUAGUUGAAAUGUUUGAAUAGAAUAUACGUUUACGUGGGAAGAAGUUGUUUUGUUCUUGGUUGUUAAGUGGUUUUGAAAAGAAGAGGUUUUUUUUGUUUUCCAACACCUUUUUGAAGAGUAAUGGCCACUGGUGGAGAUCAAGAUUAAGUCAAUCCUUUUUUUUGGGAUAUGGAAUAAAUAGAGGAUCAUUUUGAGUUCUUUUGGCAUUGGAUGGAUCUUAUUUUUUGUUUUUUUGGAGAUAGACAGUUUUCCCGGUGCUAGGAAGUACCUCCUUGUCGCACCACAUCGUCGUACCUUCUGGUUGGUGAGAAGUACUCCCCCUAAGGUAGAGGAAACCUGGAAUAUACCUUACUUGGCUCUCCCGCAUCAACUUAACCGGAGUUUGGAGAAGCCACAGGCCUACUUUUUGUAGAAACGACAGGUUUUAUUAUUAAAAUUUACAUUUUCAAUUCUUUUACAUAACAUAUUUCAACUUUAACAUUUUUAAUACCAUAUAUAAUCUUAAUAAUCAUAUAAAUUCAUUUUUCUAAAAUCAAUUAACGUAAUCAUAAUCAAUAUUUUUCUUUUCCACAACUUUUAUAUGUCAUUUUCAUUAUUGUAUUUGUAUUCUAUUUUAUUUAAAAUAGUCCGGAGAUCAUAACCUAUCUGGUAAGAUACUGUGCACACUAUCUCGGUUAUUAUCACAAUAUAUCAGUAUUGUCCAGUGUAUCAUUCCGAUCAGAUGUGGGAUUGUCAACCAAUAUUGUAAUCCUCCUUAAUAAUAAGUUUUUGUACACACAUAUUUAGAUCCAUUAACUGUCUUGGUAUAAUAAAUUCAAUAUAUUUGCUUUUCUCUACUGUAAUAUCUGUGUAAUUGACAGGAGCGUACUAGCCUAGUACGUCAGGUGGUUAGCUAGUUUGUAUAAAAUUGUAUAUAGGGGUUAUAGGUAUUUUUUUUUUCAUUAAAUUUGUUGGUUGUACAUA
rnacentral:lncRNA from 1 species